GAUAGGGUAUGCAAGUGGUCAAAGCAGCUGGUCUCAAGAUCCAGUCCUUCGGGUUCGCGGGUUCGACUCCCGUCUCUAUCA
rfam:Paramecium bursaria Chlorella virus 1 (PBCV-1), complete genome.